AAAAAUAAUCUUUGUUCAUCAGAAUCCACAACAACGGAGACAACAAUGGUGGACUGGCCAACAACAACAACAGAAACCACAACAAUGGAGACAGCAACAACAAGGACGACCUGGCCUACACCAACAACACUCUGGCCUACAUCAACAACGACACCAACAACAGUCAGGCCUACAUCAACAACAACAACAACACCAACAACAGUCAGGCCUACAUCAACAACAUCAACAACACCAACAACAGUCAGGCCUACAUCAACAACAACGACACCAACAACAGUCAGGCCUACAUCAACAACAUCAACAACACCAACAACGGUCUGGCCUACAUCAACAGCAACACCUACAACAACUUCAGCAAACAAAACUACAACAGGGCCAUGGACCACAGUUACUCCUCCUUGUAAGUAUAUCCUCAUAUAGCCCACCAUUAUCCCACAGUUACAACUGCUUUUAUAUACAAUACCCAAAUAUUCCCUAUAAUUGGAUCCAAUAGUUGUGAGUGAACUUUUAAUGUAUUUCUCUUAUGAAUUGGUCACAAUGAGCCUCUGUAGUUGAGCUGAACCUCAUUGGAGACCAGGGGAAUCCCACAAAUCUAAAAUAUUUCCAAAACAGAAACCGUCUAUAGCUCCCAAGUCAAACAAUAAAUAUUCCAUAUUGUUUAGGUAAUGAGUGACCAUAUACUGAAAUUUAUACCAAUAUUUAUUAAAGCAUCUGUAACACAUUCCCACCCAUUAUUAAUCAUUGCACGUCUGUUCCAUGUGAUGCAAGAGCUGUACCUGCUGAAUGAUUGGCUGUAGUUGAGUGACAGUUAAGUGACUGCCGGUUUGUGUUUCUGUGAUACCUUUGGCUGGUGUGGGAAGUUACCAAUUCAGAGAAACUAAGAACCAACAAAGCCUGCCUCUAUUUUGUUCGAAGUGGGGAGAAAUUGACAAAUCAGAAGAAGAUGAAGAAUGCGCCGUCUACAAUGAAGCAUCUUUAAUUCAGUUUAGCGUGUGCUCCACUAGUUAUGUCGCCAAAGAGAAAACCUACAGAUGAUAUAAAAUCCCCCAGGCCCUAUUAAAACUAUAGAAGGUUAUAGAUAUAAAAAUAGAGUAAAUGUCAUUGUUAAACAAACAUUUUACUAAAGUGCGUUCGACAGCCUCACCGUUUAAACUACAGUAUUAUAAAAAUGUUCCACCACUUUAUUUCUUAAUAUGACACCUAGAUCUUAGCAUCGUUUUUUUGCACGUCGUAUCGUCGGGGACAGUUAAUUAGGUUAUUUACAAUGGGUGACCCUUUACUAGUGCAAAGUCACUAAAGAGUCCAAAAGUUGAAGACAACUGGAUAAAUAUGUAACGCAAGUAUUUUUGGAACCUCUUAUAGUGUUCUCUAAUUUAAAAUGAGACUGAACAAUAGUAACACACUAUUACACAUGUAUGUGCGUGCCAACCUGUAUAAAAACAAAAAAGAGUUCAAGUUGGAAUGUGAUGUACAUUUUUUUGUGCACUUGUCCAGUAUAAGGUAAGUGUAAGGGUAGGGGUCACCAUUGGGUCUAAAGCCUUAAGCACCCCUGAAUAAAUGGGUAAGUAUAUAUUUCACAAUUGUUUGCAUUGUCUUUUUGCGCCAGGUUAAUGCUAUAUGCGUUAAAAUUAAUGGAACGUGUUUAUCACAACUCCAAGGUUGUUCAUUCACCCGAAUUUCAGAACUAGGUUUGAAGUUACAGUUAUUUUGCAGAGAAUUGUCUCUAGUUAACAAGGUCAGAAAAGAGGGAUCUUCCUAAAGCUCAGGUUUUAGUGAUAUGCGUCCGGCCUAAAGCUCGUGUGUCCAGUGGGCUUGGGCCGACCUCGUGUCCUUGGGGCGUGGGCGGGUUCUGGCUAAUAAUAAUAAUAGGGCAGGCCCAUCCCAUUCUGUGACAUCACAAUGGGUAGGGUGGGCACAGGUAAAUAAGAAGGGGAGUAUGCCAGGUAAGGGUGGGAUGUGAGUGUUGCCAGAUCGGGUUAGGGUUGGGUUGAAAUUUAGUUGACCAGCACAUGACUAUUCUGUAUGUACUUGCAUUUGUACUGUACCUUUGUACUGUGUGUAUAUGUGAAGAUAUGGUCUGUGUAUUAUCUUUAUGACAUUCAGGAUGUGCUUCUUAGAGGUAAGCCCCCUGUUAGCCUUGGGGAUUGUCCUAGCAAAGGACAAGGGGAUGAGCUCCCCUACAAUUUUUUUUCAACAGACUGAGGAAGGACCUUGUCGUGGUUCUGUUGCUCACAAUUUGUGGAUUUCACUGCAACCAGGAACUCCCACUGAUACUGUUGGACUAUUCAGUUCUAACAAAUGCUACGCAUAUUCUGUAGAACAUAUCCUUAUCAACAGGCCUGAGAGUUGGCAACGGUUAUAUGACAACAUAUAGUCACUUGUGUCAUGUGACUCUGAAAUAUUAUAUCAUAAACAUUAGUGCCGCCCAUGAGGAUAUGCAUGAACCCUUUUGCCCUUAUAUGGUCAAUGAACUUCUUUUUGAACUUCUAUUUUUGAGGUUGAGAAAAAAAAUGGCAUUGUGAAAAAAUGAUAUUUAUAAACGGGAAAAAAACAUGAUUCUGUUAGUUUUUUUCACAGUAACAAAGACUUGAUUAGAAAACUAAACUCAAACUUAUUUCAAUGUUGAUCAUUAGGGAUGCAGCAAAUACACUAUUUUGGAUUCGAGCAAAUCCCUGAAUCCUUUGUGAAAGAUUUGGCUGAAUACUGAACCAAAUCCAAAUCCUAAUUUGCCUAUGCAAAUUAGGGGGCGGGAAAGCAAAAAAUUGGGAAAAUAUUUUUUCCUUCCUUUUGUGACAAAAAAAUCACGUGAUUUCCAUUCCCACCCCUAAUUUGCAUAUGAAAAUUAGA